GCGCGGGAGGCUGUCGGCCAGAGUCCCCGCCACGCUGCCUGCCGGCGUCGCGUUGGGGCCGAGGACACACCCCCUGGGGCCCGGUUAGGGCUCUGUCCUCCGGCGCCCCUUUCCCCGUUAUGGCAAUGGCUUCUCGCUGCCGAAAUAGCGAAGCUAGCCUUUGGGCUGGGAGCGUGCUGGCUCCUCCUAACUUGUAGGGCUGUUUGUGCGUGACCUUGGGCAGGGUGCAAACAGAGGUGACAGAGAGGGACCAGUUCUCAUCCUGGAGUCCCUGUAUCUCCCGAGCUUCCUUCUUUGGUUUUCUCUUGGCUCACGCUCAAAGGUGAUUCCCUCCGAACCCAGAGCACCUGCUUUGUUGCAUACAAAGCUACCUCUGUCUGUCCUGGGCCUGGAUCUACCUUGGGGUCGAAAAGAAAGGCCUUUUAAGUGGGUGCAUGUGCAGAGGAGAGUUAUGGUCCCGAAAGACUCACCAGAUUGCCAGUAGAGACCGUCUUCUUUCCCUAAAGCUUCCUUUCCUCCCCUCCCCCAAUGCUUUCAGAGUAGAUUAACUAAUUACCUCCAAUUAAAGCGGCUUGAUCUCUGUUCCUCCUGGGCUUCAACACUGCCCCUAGGACUCUUCCUAGGCAGCCUCGGUCUGAAAGGGGACCUGGCCACUUAGGUGGAUCAGUGAAUCAGUUACAUAAUGCAGAGGGCCACAAAGGAAGCCCACCGGGUCAUGUGCUUCACGGGGAGUGGUGCAGCCGAGCCUAGUUCUCUGACUCUGUCGGGUUUCAGGCCCUAAUGGGUCUGUUGGCGUCAGGAGCUGUCUUCUUUGGAGGUAAGGCAGUUGGGUGAAGGGCCUGCUGCAGAUACUGAGGGCUAGAGAAGCAAUAGUCAGAGGGCAACCCAGAAGCCACCAGACCUUGGGGACACUUGUGGCCUCCCUCACCCAGGACUCAGGGACAGCAGACUCUAAAUGUCCCUCCUCACUCUAACCUUGCUACCCUCCCAUGUCUUCUAAGUGCUCCACCCCUCACUGGCCUGGGCACUAGCCCAGCCCAGUCCAUCCCAGGCCCCGCCCUGACCCCACGUGUGGGACGUGAGGGGAGGGAUACCUGGCAUCGGAGGUAGGAUGUUGGGUUGUGACCCAGGUCUCACCUCUGGACAAGCUGGCCUGUUUUGGUCAGGCAAGCUUAUGCCAGGCUGUGACUCAGGGCCUAAUUCUACCUUGAGUCCUGCCAUAGCAGGGAUUUGGGCUUGGAUCUCUUGUGUAUGCAAAAUGGAGGGGAGACAGCUCCUGUCAGUGGCAGGCUUCUGUCUUGAGGUGCUCUCUCUUUAAGCUCCUAGGUUCUAGGGUACUAGCCAUAGCUGUUCCUUCCAGUGUGUUGCCCUGGUAGGAGGUGGCAGGGAAGGCCCUCUGUCGGGAACAAGGGUUUCAGGGGCAGAGGGCAACUGAACUAUUCAGGGCCGGAAGUGCUACCUCUGGGGUGUCAAAAGUCUGUUUGCCAGUUUGCUUAACCCCUACGCCCAUGUAAAGCCGGUCACAACUAACUCACUUCUAGGGGUGUUUCUUUAUGUAUGCUCAGACCGUUGAUAGGGGAGCUUAAAGUUUUCACUUGUUUCUCUGUUCCUUGUCCCCUUCUUCAGCCCUUCCCUAAGUGUAUCUGUAGGACUUUGUUCUUUCCGGCACUUCGUACUGGCCAGCAGAGGGCGCUACCCAAGGACUGAGGACACCAGGGAAGAGCUCACUGAGUGCAGGCUGGCCUGUCUCCACCAGCGGACUGGAAGAUCUAAUGGAAACCAGGAAGGAAUGGUGUUUGUGUUGGCAUCCAUGGGCCCUGUAGCCCUGCCAACUCCCACAGCAUGUGACAUUGUCAGGGGACUGGAGGUGUGAAGCAGAAGUCACCCGGAGAGGAUCAUGCUGCUGCCUGCUUCCAGUCACAUCAUAUGACCCUCUGCGGAUCGAGAGCUGAGAGCUUCCUCCCCACCGGCCCUUCCCCGGCACUGGCUCCACAUCUCCAGGAGUAGCAGCAUCGGAGUCUACUGAGCAGAGCCGAUCUCCCUCUGCCUGGCUUUCGGAAACUGAGGUCCCUACCUCCUGCGGCUGGACUCAUCUCCAAGCUUCAGUGUCUCUCUCCCGUCCUGUUCAUCAGCCUGGCUCUCGCUACCCUCACCUCAGAGCAGGCAGGGUCUCAAUAGGGUGAGCUGCUCAGGGGGCAUCUCCACUCUUGCCAGGCAAUCAUCUCUCUUGCAGCCCCUCCCCUGCUGCCGACUGUUCUUCAGGGAGAAGGCUCGCUGGCAGGGUGGCAGGCUGCCCACCAAUGGGGGCCAUGCCAAGUGUGAUGUGAUGUGUGCUGAUCCCUCUCCAUGCCUUGCCGAAGACCAGGGCUGAUGCACCCGCAGGCUGGGGAGCCUGGGCUGUUCUCUCAUCAUCACCCUGGGGGGGAGGAUGUCACAGUGAAUAGAGGGCUCCCUUGUGUUAUAGGUGGAAAGGCCAUUCCGAAAGUCUCUCCUAGACCCCUUAUGUCUGGUCUUGUGCCCCCAGUUUAUGGGGGCUCUGAGCACUAUUCAGGGUGUCAUAUUAGUUGUAACCCCAGUGGGAAUGGAGGGGCCGUGAGUGGCAGAACCUCCCACCCCAGCAUACUAAAGAUAUUUUCCUGUAUCCCCUGCCUAACUCUGUCUGUUGAAGUCUCAGGCUCCAGGAGAGAGCGUGAGGGGUUUGAGGGACAGAAGGAGAAACGGGCAGUGUUAAGCACAGCACCAGUACAGUUUGAAGAGUUCCUUUCUGUUCCCUUUCUGACAGGCCUGUCUGUGACGGGCUGUGCCAGGCAAGAGGAAGGCUGAGGACCUGGGGUAGCCCAUCAUUCUCAGAUAUAAUAAAUUCUUGAGAUUAUCAUGCA
rnacentral:sRNA from 1 species